rnacentral:rRNA from 1 species
GCGGACGGGUGAGUAAUGUCUGGGAAACUGCCUGAUGGAGGGGGAUAACUACUGGAAACGGUAGCUAAUACCGCAUAACGUCGCAAGACCAAAGAGGGGACCUUCGGGCCUCUUGCCAUCGGAUGUGCCCAGAUGGGAUUAGCUUGUUGGUGGGGUAACGGCUCACCAAGGCGACGAUCCCUAGCUGGUCUGAGAGGAUGACCAGCCACACUGGAACUGAGACACGGUCCAGACUCCUACGGGAGGCAGCAUG